GAUGAACGCUGGCGGCGUGCCUAAUACAUGCAAGUCGAGCGAACAGAUGAGGAGCUUGCUCCUCUGACGUUAGCGGCGGACGGGUGAGUAACACGUGGAUAACCUACCUAUAAGACUGGGAUAACUUCGGGAAACCGGAGCUAAUACCGGAUAAUAUAUUGAACCGCAUGGUUCAAUAGUGAAAGACGGGUUUGCUGUCACUUAUAGAUGGAUCCGCGCCGCAUUAGCUAGUUGGUAAGGUAACGGCUUACCAAGGCAACGAUGCGUAGCCGACCUGAGAGGGUGAUCGGCCACACUGGAACUGAGACACGGUCCAGACUCCUACGGGAGGCAGCAGUAGGGAAUCUUCCGCAAUGGGCGAAAGCCUGACGGAGCAACGCCGCGUGAGUGAUGAAGGUCUUCGGAUCGUAAAACUCUGUUAUUAGGGAAGAACAAAUGUGUAAGUAACUAUGCACGUCUUGACGGUACCUAAUCAGAAAGCCACGGCUAACUACGUG
rnacentral:rRNA from 1 species